GCUGGAGGUAUCAGAAGUGCGAAUGCUGACAUAAGUAACGAUAAAGCGGGUGAAAAGCCCGCUCGCCGGAAGACCAAGGGUUCCUGUCCAACGUUAAUCGGGGCAGGGUGAGUCGACCCCUAAGGCGAGGCCGAAAGGCGUAGUCGAUGGGAAACAGGUUAAUAUUCCUGUACUUGGUGUUACUGCGAAGGGGGGACGGAGAAGGCUAUGUUGGCCGGGCGACGGUUGUCCCGGUUUAAGCGUGUAGGCUGGUUUUCCAGGCAAAUCCGGAAAAUCAAGGCUGAGGCGUGAUGACGAGGCACUACGGUGCUGAAGCAACAAAUGCCCUGCUUCCAGGAAAAGCCUCUAAGCAUCAGGUAACAUCAAAUCGUACCCCAAACCGACACAGGUGGUCAGGUAGAGAAUACCAAGGCGCUUGAGAGAACUCGGGUGAAGGAACUAGGCAAAAUGGUGCCGUAACUUCGGGAGAA
rnacentral:rRNA from 1 species